CCUACGGGAGGCUGCAGUGGGGAAUAUUGGACAAUGGGGGGAACCCUGAUCCAGCGACGCCGCGUGAGUGAAGAAGUAUCUCGGUAUGUAAAGCUCCAUCAGCAGGGAAGAAAGAAAUGACGGUACCUGACUAAGAAGCCUCGGCUAACUACGUGCCAGCAGCCGCGGUAAUACGGCGGGGGCAAGCGUUAUCCGGAUUUACUGGGUGUAAAGGGAGCGUAGACGGCGAUGCAAGUCUGAAGUGAAAGGCGGGGGCCCAACCCCUGGACUGCUUUGGAAACUGUAUGGCUGGAGUGCAGGGGAGGUAAGUGGAAUUCGUAGUGUAGCGGUGAAAUGCGUAGAUAUUAGGAAGAACACCAGUGGCGAAGGCAGCUUACUGGACUGUAACUGACGUUGAGGCUCGAAAGCGUGGGGAGCAAACAGGAUUAGAUACCCGAGUAGUC
rnacentral:rRNA from 1 species